GACGAACGCUGGCGGCGUGCUUAACACAUGCAAGUCGAACGGAAAGGCCCUGCUUUUGUGGGGUGCUCGAGUGGCGAACGGGUGGGUAACACGUGAGUAACCUGCCCUUGACUUUGGGAUAACUUCAGGAAACUGGGGCUAAUACCGGAUAGGAGCUCCUGCUGCAUGGUGGGGGUUGGAAAGUUUCGGCGGUUGGGGAUGGACUCGCGGCUUAUCAGCUUGUUGGUGGGGUAGUGGCUUACCGAGGCUUUGACGGGUAGCCGGCCUGAGAGGGUGACCGGCCACAUUGGGACUGAGAUACGGCCCAGACUCCUACGGGAGGCAGCAGUGGGGAAUAUUGCACAAUGGGCGGAAGCCUGAUGCAGCAACGCCGCGUGCGGGAUGACGGCCUUCGGGUUGUAAACCGCUUUCGCCUGUGACGAAGCGUGAGUGACGGUAAUGGGUAAAGAAGCACCGGCUAACUACGUG
rnacentral:rRNA from 1 species